GAGUUUGAUCGUGGCUCAGAUUGAACGCUGGCGGCAUGCCUUACACAUGCAAGUCGAACGGCAGCACGGGAGCUUGCUCCUGGUGGCGAGUGGCGAACGGGUGAGUAAUGCAUCGGAACGUAUCCUGGAGUGGGGGAUAACGUAGCGAAAGUUACGCUAAUACCGCAUAUUCUGUGAGCAGGAAAGCGGGGGACCUUCGGGCCUCGCGCUCUUGGAGCGGCCGAUGUCGGAUUAGCUAGUUGGUGAGGUAAGGGCUCACCAAGGCGACGAUCCGUAGCAGGUCUGAGAGGAUGAUCUGCCACACUGGAACUGAGACACGGUCCAGACUCCUACGGGAGGCAGCAGUGGGAAUUUUGGACAAUGGGGGCAACCCUGAUCCAGCCAUGCCGCGUGAGUGAAGAAGGCCUCGGUUGUAAG
rnacentral:rRNA from 1 species